GAUCCUGGCUCAGGACGAACGCUGGCGGCGUGCCUAAUACAUGCAAGUUGAGCGCUGAAGGUUGGUACUUGUACCGACUGGAUGAGCAGCGAACGGAUGAGUAACGCGUGGGGAAUCUGCCUUUGAGCGGGGGACAACAUUUGGAAACGAAUGCUAAUACCGCAUAAAAACUUUAAACACAAGUUUUAAGUCUGAAAGAUGCAAUUGCAUCACUCAAAGAUGAUCCCGCGUUGUAUUAG
rnacentral:rRNA from 1 species